UUGUUUCCCAUCUAGUGUUGUCUAUGAUAAACCAAUUGAGAUGACAGAGUCUGCUGCUUUGCCUGACUCAUAUGAUGUUUCUCAAGCUGCUUGUUGAUGAAUGAUCAAUGGACUAUGUCAUUGGUGGGGAUGAUUUUGAGUUUGGCCAUUGCCUUUGGACUUUCAAGCUCUGAGACAGGAGGCCCAUGUACUUCUCAUUGAUCAUCAAGACCACAGGAUAUAAUCAUUCGCUUGGUCCCAAAAUUUGGCUGCUGAGUGCUAUGUCAGAAAAAGGUAGUUUGGAAGCCUAAUUACUUGUUUUUUUCUUAUAAUUGGAACUAAUUUGGGAGUAUGAACAAGUUUUUAGCAUGACCAAUCUAAAACUUGGGAGUGUGAAACUAUUUUUAGCAUGAAUCAGCUCACACUCUUGCUCUUGUGCAAAGAAAAUGAUGUCAACAUGUAUGCCAAAUUUCUUAAAAUGUGAUAAAAUUAAGUU